UACGGAGGAUGCGAGCGUUAUCCGGAUUUAUUGGGUUUAAAGGGUGCGCAGGCGGUCUGUUAAGUCAGCGGUCAAAGCCCGGGGCUCAACCCCGGCCCGCCGUUUGAACUGGCGCGCUUGAGUUCAGGCGAGGUAGGCGGAAUUCGUGGUGUAGCGGUGAAAUGCAUAGAUAUCACGAAGAACUCCGAUUGCGAAGGCAGCUUACCAGUCUGCGACUGACGCUCAGGCACGAAAGUGUGGGUAUCGAACAGG
rnacentral:rRNA from 1 species